AGAAUCAACGCUGGCGGCGUGCCUAACACAUGCAAGUCGAACGCGAAAGGGGAGCAAUCCCUGAGUAGAGUGGCAAACGGGUGAGUAACACGUGGGUGACCUGCCUUCGAGUGGGGGAUAACGUCCCGAAAGGGACGCUAAUACCGCAUGACAUCCUGCUUUUGGAAAAGCGGAGAUCAAAGCCGGGGAUUCGCAAGAACCUGGCGCUUGAAGAGGGGCCCGCGCCUGAUUAGCUAGUUGGUGAGGUAACGGCUCACCAAGGCUACGAUCAGUA
rnacentral:rRNA from 1 species